rnacentral:rRNA from 1 species
AGUGUAUGCUUUUCCUAAAGAUUAAGCCAUGCAUGCCUUCGAAUAAGAGGAAGCAAUUCUCUCUGAAUCUGCGAACGGCUCCGCAAACCAGUUGUAAACAGAGGCAAGUCCCGCUCUUGAUUGGCCCUUUCGGGGGCUGGUCCUGGGCAUUUAUAUGGAUACCCGUGGUAAUUCUGAGGCUAAUACAUGACAAUAAUACCCUGCCGUCGGUCUGCCGGUGCCCCUCGGGGUGCCGGAUGUGAUUGGUGGCGGGGGACGCGCGACAUAUGGCUGGGUAGCUCGGGAAAGAACGCGCGUUCGGACCACCGCUUGCGGGCCUUGCGUAGGAAGGGUGCGGCUUGCCGUGCUUGGACUUGCUUGGCCUGGUGGCUCUUGCUGCGUGCUUCUGACCUAUCAACUAGAUGGCAGCAUAAGGGACAUGCCAUGGUGACAACGGGUACAGAGGAUCAGGGUUCGAUCCUGGAGAGUGGGCCUGAGAGAUUGCUCAUACUUCUAAGGAAGGCAGCAGGCGCGCAACGUUCCCAAUGGACAACGUCUGAGGGCGUUAGGGGACAUAUGAAUGGCUGCACUAGUUGUGGCCAAUUCAAAUGGGUUUGUCGUAAACAGACUCUCGAGUAACAAUUAGAGGACAAGUCUGGUGCCAGCACCCGCGGUAAUUCCAGCUCUAAUAGCAUACGUUAAAGUUGUUGCAGUUAAAACGCUCGUAGUCGGCUUCAGGCCGCCAGAAUCUGGCGUCGAGUGCACGGGUCUGUGUUCCUCCGGGAACGCGCCGGGCGCGAGGCAAAGGUGGACGGCGGUCAAUAGUGCUCGUCCGCGUGCCCCUCUCGGGGGGCUUACAGGGCCGUUGAACGUUCUUGGGUGACGCCUGGCUUCGGCUGGGCUAGUCCUUGGGCUAAGGCGGUCUGGCGGCGGGUGCCAUUUGCCAUGAUUAAACUGGGGUGAUUAAAGCAGGCCAUUCGGCCAUUGAACAGAUCAGCAUGGCAUAAGCAUAGGUUUGCCCAUUCCCAUGGCCGGGGGGGCAGGCCGACUGCUGCAAAAGGAGUGUUCGGGGGUGACCGAAUUGCCGGGCGAGUGGUGAAAUACGUUGACCCUGGCAAGUCGACCAAAAGCGAAGGCAGUCAUCAAGGGCACAUCCAUUGAUCAAGAGCGAAAGUUAAGGGUUCGAAAACGAUCAGAUACCGUUGUAGUCUUAACUAUAAAUGAUACUGGCCAGGGAUAGGGCAGUGUCCAUCUCGACUCCCUCCGGACUUUAGGGAAACCAAAGCCUUUGAGUUCUGGGGGGAGUAUGGUCGCAAGGCUGAAACUUAAAGGAAUUGACGGAAGGGCACACAAAGAGUGGAACCUGCGGCUUAAUUUGACUCAACACGGGGAAACUUACCAGGUCAAGAUACACGGAUGAAGGACAAGCUGAUAGACUUUUCCCAAUGAUGUAAGUGGUGGUGCAUGGCCGUUCUUAGUGCGUGGAGUGGUUUGUCUGGUCUAUUCCGAUAACGCGCGAGACCCCGACGCUUUAAGUAGGUGCGGUAGCCCGGUUUGGCGAACUACUAGUGGUCUAGUAGCCCCGGUUCGCCGGGGCGAACGGCGUGCUAGCGCCUUGCCAGCAGCCGCCCUGCGCAAGCAAUUUCUUCUUAGACGGAUCGAGGCCGACAAGGUCUCUGAAAUGGGUUAAUAACAGGUCAGUCAUGCCCUUAGAUGUUCUGGGCCGCACGCGCGUUACAAUGGCAUGCAAAACGAGUGUUCGUUACGAGCUUUCCCAGGGCCGACAGGGUCUGGCAAACCCUAAGGCAUGCCUCGACUGGGCUAGACUCUUGCAAUUAUGGGUCUUAAACGAGGAAUUUUUAGUAUUCGCGGGUCAUCAACCCGCGGGUAAUGCGUCCCUGCCCUUUGUACACACCGCCCGUCGCUGCUACCGAUUGGGUUUUACGGUUACGCGUUCGGAGGUCGAGUUGACCGCCACCUUCGGGUGGUGGGACGCCCGGCCAAAGUUCGAAUACC